rnacentral:rRNA from 1 species
GACGAACGCUGGCGGCGUGCUUAACACAUGCCAGUCGAACGGAAAGGCCCUGCUUUUGUGGGGUGCUCGAGUGGCGAACGGGUGAGUAACACGUGAGUAACCUGCCCUUGACUUUGGGAUAACUUCAGGAAACUGGGGCUAAUACCGGAUAGGAGCUCCUGCUGCAUGGUGGGGGUUGGAAAGUUUCGGCGGUUGGGGAUGGACUCGCGGCUUAUCAGCUUGUUGGUGGGGUAGUGGCUUACCAAGGCUUUGACGGGUAGCCGGCCUGAGAGGGUGACCGGCCACAUUGGGACUGAGAUACGGCCCAGACUCCUACGGGAGGCAGCAGUGGGGAAUAUUGCACAAUGGGCGGAAGCCUGAUGCAGCAACGCCGCGUGCGGGAUGACGGCCUUGGGUUGUAAACCGCUUUCGCCUGUGACGAAGCGUGAGUGACGGUAAUGGGUAAAGAAGCACCGGCUAACUACGUG